AAUCGAUUACACACUUAAGGAUGAAUAAGUGAAUUAAAACAUAGCAUAACACUCACUAGCUAAAGAAAAUGCUCCAAAUGUGUAUUUCCUUUCAAUGCAAAGCAAUAUUUGAGGCACGUCAGGUGAUACGCGCGCUCUACAGACGCACUGAUUGGCUGUUGGGCUUUUAAACUUUUAUCUGAUUGGCUUAUAUUUAUUUUUAGCAUUUUUAUAUCUUAAAUAAUUUAGAUUAAAGUCAGCCUCUUAUUGUAUUAUUUAACACUGUUUCAUAUCAGAAAAAAAGGCGCGUCUCGGUGAAGCGCACAUGACUCCUGAAGUUUGAAACAUGCGGUGCGCGGACCUGUCAAUCAAGACUCUACUGCCCGCCCCUCGCCGCUUAUUGGUCGGAUUUUGUGCCCAGUCAGCCAAGUCCAACAGGCGUGUAGUCUGCAAAUGACGUCAGGGCAUCCCACCACAGGACAUCCACACAGCAGACCUGAGGAAAGCCAAAGAAUACCACCAAACAUUGAAUCUCAUACUUUAAAACAAGAUGAAAACAUUGAAAGCAAAGUUCAAGAAGUCAGAGGUAAGAACCUGUCACAUGCCAAGUGUGCUAGUCUUCUUACUUAACCAUGUUUGACUAUUAAUAUGAGCCAUUAUGUUUCCAAAACUGUUAUAUAUAUGUAUAGUAUCCAGGUUGUUAGAUAUCUUGAGUAUUUUGGUGACUACCGUGUUUUAGCAGAAGGCACCUGUAACCAGAGACCUCUACUAGUGUUCAAUUAUUGAAACACAUUCAUUCACUCAGACUCAGUAUAUGAUGUAUUCUGCGCUCUUCAUUGUUAGAUGCUUUUAUGGCCCUUCAUCUUCACUAAUAUUCAUAACACAUUAUAUUAUUGGAUCUGAGCCCACUGUGUGAAGGCGAUCCUAGUGUUCUGAGGUUGUGACAGAUAGAUGAGGCACUGUAGAGGAGAGAAAGGGAGCUGGAUGUUUUCUCUGUUAUUAUUCUUACCAAACCUCAUGUCUGGGGUAGAUGUCCACAUAAUGUCUGCUGUUGGUGGGGUCAGAAAGUCAAAGAAAGAUAUACUGUAUGUGUGUUA
rnacentral:lncRNA from 12 species